GUGGCUAUCAAAUGGCCAAGCUGAAGUCUGUUACGCGCGGAUCUUUGGCAGGAACGCAGCCAACGACCGAGGGGCUCUGCCGCAUGACGCGUACAACUGAAGCAGUCGCGUAGAUGAAUGAAUGAUAAAUGUUAGACUAAUAUUCUAAGAAAAUACGACUAAAUACAACGAGAAAGGGUAUUCGUGCGUCGUGUCAAUCGCAAUUGUCUCGUUUGUCCAAGGGAACAUUGACCAAACGGUACCAGACUUCGGGAACUGAAAGCAUCCCCCAGAGAAUGGAGAUUGGGAAAUCUCCCUAUCAGAGGCGUAAUAGAUGGAAGGGUUUAGUUAAAGGAAAUAUAGAGCCUCUGAUUGGGAUAGAACUACAAACAGCUACAAGUAAAGACGCGCAGAUAAUGGGCAAAAUUACAAAAUUAUCACUGCGAAGACGAACCUAAAGCACUAUUUUAUUGUAACUGAUACCAUGGACGACAUCAUAAUAGAAGUUUAUUUUAUCACCCGUUACGGUUUUAUACUGGACUUGAAGGAUAGAGUCCUUAGUCCCUUAUAUUUGAAAACGGCAAAGGAAAACAUCGACGCUGCAGUUCAGACCAAAACUAUACCCAAGUCCCGGGCUGUUCAGCUGCCUCGGGAUUUCAGGAAGAAAGAUGCCCGCCUAGUCUAAAAGGCAGAGGAAUCGUCUUCCACGUACACGGUCAGUGGAACGAACAACGCACAGUGGAACAUUCGGCCGUUUAAGCUUGCUAAAUUAAUGACUUCUGCACUAAUUAAGAUUUCGUCAUGUUCUUCAAAUAAAAGAAAAAUCCUUCAAAAUUAAGCCUACCCAAGAACACGAUUUUACGAUGUCUAAAUACUUCACAAAAUUGUGUUAAUGUUAAACUUGAUUCCGGUGGAUUUUUUUUAUUUUUUUGGAUCAAUAAAGAACGUUUAAUAGUCAAU